rnacentral:rRNA from 1 species
CGUGUAGGCGGGAUUGUAAGUCAGAUGUGAAAUUCCAGGGCUUAACUCUGGAGCUGCAACUGAAACUACGGUUCUUGAGUGCUGGAGAGGAAAGCGGAAUUCCUAGUGUAGCGGUGAAAUGCGUAGAUAUUAGGAGGAACACCAGUGGCGAAGGCGGCUUUCUGGACAGUAACUGACGCUGAGGCGCGAAAGCGUGGGGAGCAAACAGGAUUAGAUACCCUGGUAGUCCACGCUGUAAACGAUGGAUACUAGGUGUAGGAGGUAUCGACCCCUUCUGUGCCGGAGUAAACACAAUAAGUAUCCCACCUGGGGAGUACGGCCGCAAGGUUGAA